UAUUUCAUAUCUAUUUCCAGUUUUACAUUCGUAUUAGUAUUUAAGUUUCAACUGCAAAGUGGUUUCACAAAUGUUGUAAUAAGAAUGAUGAUUGUUUGUUAGUUUUUGUUUGAUUAUUUCCAUUUCUGAAUUGCUCAGUGUUUUCCCGUACUAGUUGUAAUAUAAAGAUUUUCGUUUCAGUUAUGGCAUAUGGUAGUAAGGCAGAUCACUUGAUGCAUGCUGAGACGUGAAUUCACAUUCCUACCACUUGGCAAGGUAUCAACAUCCUACAAUGAACAAUGGACUAGAAGAUUCUAAUAAUAAUUAUGGCUUUAUGCAAUAUGGCAGUAUAAUAGUAGAUCACUCAAAGCAUGCUGAGACAUUAAUUAACAUUUAAGGAAUUUGGGAAAGUUUCAACAUCCUACAUUGAACAUGGACUUGAAGAUUUUGAAAAUAAUAAUGAUUUUAAGCAAUGUAGUUUGUAAUGAAUAUAAAAUAUGGUAGUAAGGCAGAUCACUUGAUGCAUGCUGAGACGUGAAUUCACAUUCCUACCACUUGGCAAGGUAUCAACAUCCUACAAUGAACAAUGGACUAGAAGAUUCUAAUAAUAAUUAUGGCUUUAUGCAAUGUA